GCUCCAUUGGCUCAGCUGGUUAGCGCGUUCGGCUGUUAACCGGAAGGUCGGUGGUUCGAACCCACCAUGGAGCG